rnacentral:rRNA from 1 species
GUGCCAGCCGCCGCGGUAAUACGUAGGGGGCAAGCGUUGUCCGGAUUUAUUGGGCGUAAAGAGCGUGUAGGCGGCUAUACAGGUCCGCUGUGAAAACUCGAGGCUCAACCUCGAGACGUCGGUGGAAACCGUGUGGCUAGAGUCCGGAAGAGGAGAGUGGAAUUCCUGGUGUAGCGGUGAAAUGCGCAGAUAUCAGGAAGAACACCCGUGGCGAAGGCGGCUCUCUGGGACGGUACUGACGCUGAGACGCGAAAGCGUGGGGAGCGAACAGGAUUAGAUACCCGUGUAGUCC